CUUCAGUUAGCUGCAGUUAAUAGCAGUUUUCAGUUCAGAUUGACAAUGCCUUGCUUAUUUUCUAUCUGUUGCCAGGCUCUGUCUCUCUGUCACACACUCUCACAUCAUCUUUUCAUUUAGUUUUAAAUCUGUUUACCAUUUGUUGUCAGUUUGCAAGUUAAAGUCUCCAGCUUUUUGUCACACGGGACCUCAAUUUGAGUGACAAAAAGUAGGAAAAUUAUUACUCUACUACUAUCUACCAUACUAUGACAUUAAGCUGCCUCUCUGCAGACACUAAUCUAAAUCUAAAGCUUAUAAAUUCAAAUGACCUGUGACAGUGUUUUUUUUUUCUGAAGUUAACUAAAACUCAAUUUCUCUCCCCCAUGACCCCCAAAACCGCUGACCAUCAUUGUGUUCCUGCUGCGUCCUGUGGUGACUCUAAAGUGUGAGUACUAAACUUUUUCCACAAAUAGGCCUAUUAUUUAUUAUUUUAUUAUUUUAUUUAUUUAUUUUUAUUAUUCCAUAAUUUAAUGAGGGCCAAGUUGUUUUUGUGAUUUGUAGUUAAACUGAUACAUGUUUCCUUUCAUAGAUAUAGAGGACAUUGACCGACUGCUGCGUUUUUGCCUUCCUGUGACGCCUGCAAACUCCAAAGCGUAUACAGAAGACAUUGACCAGCGCCUGCGUUUUUUCCUGGUGCCGUGGUGAUUUUCUAUCUGUUGUCUCUCACUGUCAUUCUCUCUCGCCUUUCUCUACCAAUCAGAGUUCAGGUCCUGAUUGUUGUUGUCAAGUCUCUAUCUUUGCCUGGCCCUACACUCUCACGCUCUCUCUCCCUUGCUGUACCAAUUUCAAAACCUGAUGUAUUUGAAAGUCUCCAUCUGUUGUUGAGUUCUGGAGAGCUCUCUCGCUCUCCCCGUCUCUCUCUACCUAUCGCUGUCCAAUCAGUUUACAAGUGCCUGAUUGGGGAUGAUGACUCUUUAUGACCUUGAGAUUUUGUGAACAACUUUGUCAAGCACAUUACGUUGACAAAACAUUACACGCUCUGUCUAAACAGGUUACCACUACCUUAUUGAUCUGAUUUGAUUUGUACUGUUGAGGAUUUUUUUUGUUGGCAGGCAUUACAACCUUGAUCAGCUUUUGUCUAGCCCAUUCACAAACAUUAACCAGUAUUUUAUUUUUAAACUGUUAAUAACUUAAUUAUUAAGUAAGGUUUUGAAAUAAUUGAUUUGAACAUUUAUAAAUUGCUGGAAGAUAUUGGAUAAUAUAACAUUGCACAAAAAUUUUGGAAAACAAUAUACACAAGUGGAAAUCCAUAUCUAUACUAGAACAUUAAAAACAAACUGAGAUGUUUUUUUCAUUUUUCAAAAGUUUGUGUUUGCUCAGCUUGUUGGAGUAAGUAAAGGAAAACCAUACAAUUGUUACAUUUGUUGUCUCUGACUUACAUCUGAUUUUACUUAAUCUUUUCUGUUCACAUUAUUUGAAUCAGUAAGUGUUUUAUUGUUGUUUAAACCUAUAUAAAUAUAAACCCAUAGUAAUAAAAAUACAUCAGUUGUUUGAAGAAGCUGUGAUUGAUUCUGAUAUUUAAAUAUAAAGCUGAAUACAUUUCUUUAGUCUUAUAUACUAAGUUUGUUAAGGAACAAUAUUUGGAGUGUUGUCACUGAAAGUAUAGUACUAGCAUACAAUUUAGCUAUUCUCAGUUGAAUACUACAUUUGAGCAUUACUACAUAUCCUUGAUAGUGCUUUAAAGCAUUGAUUAAACAGUAAAAAAAAAAAAAGAAAACUUGAGUUUUACCGAAGCAUACAUUUAAGCCAUUUUCACAGGCUAAAAAAAGGUAUUCUGAAACUGGUUAGAAUCUACAACAAUGCCUAGGAAAGGUAAGAAG
ensembl:lncRNA